rnacentral:rRNA from 1 species
GUAAGGAAUAUUGGACAAUGGACGCAAGUCUGAUCCAGCCAUGCCGCGUGAAGGAUUAAGGUCCUCUGGAUUGUAAACUUCUUUUAUAAGGGACGAAAAAAGGCUUUUCUAAGUCGUCUGACGGUACCUUAUGAAUAAGCACCGGCUAACUCCGUGCCAGCAGCCGCGGUAAUACGGAGGGUGCAAGCGUUAUCCGGAUUCACUGGGUUUAAAGGGUGCGUAGGCGGGCAGGUAAGUCAGUGAUGAAAUCCUAGAGCUUAACUCUAGAACUGCCAUUGAUACUAUCUGUCUUGAAUAUUGUGGAGGUAAGCGGAAUAUGUCAUGUAGCGGUGAAAUGCUUAGAUAUGACAUAGAACACCUAUUGCGAAGGCAGCUUACUACGCAUAUAUUGACGCUGAGGCACGAAAGCGUGGGGAUCAAACAGGAUUAGAAACCCCAGUAGUCC